AUGUGGCGCUUGAGAGAUCAGUUCAUGGUCAGCAGCCAGCUGAGCUGUGUGUGUAGUGCUGAGUUCAACAGUCAACAGCCACAACAGACGUGAGGCGUUUUGUUGUGAAACUCGCUUCCAGAAAGAGGCGUGUGUACUACUUACAGAAGACAGGCAGCUACGAACUGCUGACUGCGUUCUCUGGAUGUUCAACUCGUCUUCAAAAAUUAGCAUCACUUCAAAGCGGUGAGAUGGAGU